UUUUAGGAAAAUUAUCAUUUUUGUAGAGAAAUAUUGUAGAUUUGAGAUUGUAAUUUAGAAAGUAGGAUAACAAGAAUUUUUGUUGAUAGAUAGACAUUCUUUUAGAAUAUUUGAUCAAUAGGUUCUUUUUUAAAAUUAGUUUUCAAAAAACUGCUAUUUUGGCAAAGUUACCAUUUUUGUAGACAAAUAUUGUAGAUUUGCUAUCUUGAUUUAGAAUCUAGGAUUACAAGAGUUUUUGUUGAUAGAUGAGCAUUCUUUUAGAAUAUUUGAUCAAUAGGUUCUUUUUAAAAAUAAUUUUUUUAAAAACUGCUGUUUUGGGAAAAUUAUCAUUUUUGUAGACAAAUGAUGUAGAUUUAGUAUUUUGAUUUAGAAAUUAUGAUUACAAGAGUUUUUUUAAUAGAUGAGCAUUUUUUUAGAAUUUUUUAUCAUUAGAAUGUAUUUUUUAAAUAAAUUGUCUAAAAACUGCUAUUUUAGGAAAGUUAUCAUUUUUGUAGAGAAAUAUUGAAGAUUUGGGAUUGUAAUUUAGAAAUUCAGAUAACAAGAGUAUUUGUUGAUAGAUGGACAUUCUUUUAGAAUAUUUGAUCAAUAGGUUCUUUUUUAAAAUAUAGUUUUUUCAAAACCUGCUAUUUUAGGAAAGUUAUCAUUUUUGUAGAGAAAUAUUGUAGAUUUGAGAUUGUAAUUUAGAAGUAGGAUAACAAGAGUUUUUGUCGAUAGAUAGACAUUUAUUUAGAAUAUCAUUUUGUAGAGAAAUAUUGUAGGAUUACAAGUGUUUUUUUAAUAUAUGAGCAUUUUUUUAGAAUUUUUUAUCAUUAGAAUGUAUUUUUUAAAUAAAUUUUCUAAAAACUGCUAUUUUGGAAAAAUUAUCAUUUUUGUAAAGAAAUAUUGAAGAUUUGGCAAUGUAAUUUAGAAAUUCAGAUAACAAGAGUUUUUAUUGAUAAAUGGACAUUCUUUUAGAAUAUUUGAUCAAUAGGUUCUCUU
rnacentral:lncRNA from 1 species